UACGUAGGGUGCGAGCGUUGUCCGGAAUUAUUGGGCGUAAAGGGCUCGUAGGCGGUUUGUCGCGUCGGGAGUGAAAACACUGGGCUUAACUCAGUGCUUGCUUUCGAUACGGGCAGACUAGAGGUAGGUAGGGGAGAUCGGAAUUCCUGGUGUAGCGGUGAAAUGCGCAGAUAUCAGGAGGAACACCGGUGGCGAAGGCGGAUCUCUGGGCCUUACCUGACGCUGAGGCGCGAAAGCUAGGGGAGCAAACAGG
rnacentral:rRNA from 1 species